rnacentral:rRNA from 1 species
GGAUUAGAUACCCUGGUAGUCCACGCCCUAAACGAUGAGUGCUAGACGUCGGAUUUUUUCGGUGUCUCAGCUAACGCGUUAAGCACUCCGCCUGGGGACUACGGUCGCAAGACUAAAACUUAAAGGAAUUGACGGGGGCCCGCACAAGCGGUGGAGCAUGUGGUUUAAUUCGACAAUACGCGAAAAACCUUACCAGACCUUGACAUGGAGAUCAUAAGCUUUAGAAAUAAGGCUGUCGGUUCGGCCGGAUCUCACACAGGUGCUGCAUGGCUGUCGUCAGCUCGUGCCG